CUCCUCUUCUGCGGCCGAGCCCGUCUCACGAUUUUCUAGAAAAAGCCGAACGGCCGCGCGGGGUACUUUCCCGCAGGAAAAACCAGUAGAGAAUAAUUCGCUGUCAUUCAAGGUAAACCAUGGCAGCUGUCUGAGCAGCAACGGGGACCGCUGAAACCCAUCCAGCUGGUACUCUGCGAGUCAGACUCAUCGCUUGCGAGGCCUCCCUGUGACAGCUCCCAUAUGUUGACAUCAUCCAUAUACUUUCUUGCUUUGUGGGACUCAAUUUAUGACUGAAAGGUGAUGAUCAAAGAAAGGCUAGGCAUCUCUUCAAACAUGCCAAAGGAGAGUUAGAAGAUGCCCGAAUGUUGUGCCUAGUCAUGGAUAUUUCAAGAGAUUUAAGGCUUCUGCUGGAAUUCAGAAUGUCUCACUGGGAUUCUCCAUUUUUUCUCAAGUUCAGUGGGGCUUUCCUCUGCUUCAUUCUGUGCUAUGGGGUUCUUGUAUAGGUUCUUGACCACCUCAACAGUGACGCCCGUUCCAUUCUCCCCACGUUCAUCCAAUACUGCUCCUUUCUGAGCUCCUGCUGACUUUCCAGGAAGACUAGUCCUGCUAUUUGAGGGUCUACAAAUUAAAUGAUACUAUCUAUCCUUCUCAGUUAGUCUGGGAAUAAACUUUCAAUAAAAUUGAUCAUGGAAAAUUUAUUUACUACACUUUUAAAGCAAUUGAUUUCUCAUGACAAAAAUCUAGAAAUUCAGAGUUUAUUUUUUUGUUGUUAAUUCUACCAAGUCAAGAGUUCUAGAUUUUAACAUGAUUCUUUUAUCAGGUUUAUAAAAUGUCUAACAAACAUUUUUCUGUGUGCAGUAUAUUGUUGCCAGUAUUUUGUAUCGAUUGUUUCUGCUGGUGAUAUUAAUUAUAAUUUGGAUGAAAGACUGA